GGGCGUGUAGCUCAGCUGGGAGAGCACCUGCCUUACAAGCAGGGGGUCACAGGUUCGAGCCCUGUCACGCCCA
rnacentral:tRNA from 1 species